rnacentral:rRNA from 1 species
AUUGAACGCUGGCGGCAUGCUUUACACAUGCAAGUCGAACGGUAACAGGCCGCAAGGUGCUGACGAGUGGCGAACGGGUGAGUAAUGUAUCGGAACGUGCCCAGUCGUGGGGGAUAACGCAGCGAAAGCUGCGCUAAUACCGCAUACGAUCUAUGGAUGAAAGCGGGGGACCGUAAGGCCUCGCGCGAUUGGAGCGGCCGAUAUCAGAUUAGGUAGUUGGUGGGGUAAAGGCUCACCAAGCCAACGAUCUGUAGCUGGUCUGAGAGGACGGCCAGCCACACUGGGACUGAAGCACGGCCCAGGCUCCUACGGGAGGCAGCAGUGGGGAAUUUUGGACAAUGGGCGCAAGCCUGAUCCAGCAAUGCCGCGUGCAGGAAGAAGGCCUUCGGGUUGUAAACUGCUUUUGUACGGAACGAAACGGUCUGGGUUAAUACCUCGGGCUAAUGACGGUACCGUAAGAAUAAGCACCGGCUAACUACGUGCCAGCAGCCGCCGUAA